rnacentral:rRNA from 1 species
UACGUAGGGGGCGAGCGUUGUCCGGAGUUACUGGGCGUAAAGGGCGCGUAGGCGGUCAGCACAAGUCAGUUGUGAAAUCUCCGGGCUUAACUCGGAAAGGUCAACUGAUACUGUGCGACUAGAGUGCAGAAGGGGCAACUGGAAUUCUCGGUGUAGCGGUGAAAUGCGUAGAUAUCGAGAGGAACACCUGCGGCGAAGGCGGGUUGCUGGGCUGACACUGACGCUGAUGCGCGAAAGCCAGGGGAGCGAACGGG